CUCCUGUGGCCUACUGCUCACAGGAAAGAAAAAACUUAACUUGUCACCUAGUCAAGGAGUUCUUCAAUUAUAAAGGCAGACAUUUUUAAGCUUUACAAAUUGAGGCAAUACAACUCUUCUGAGUUUUUCUUAAAAACAAGCAAACAAGUCACUGUUGCCACGGUGGUAAUGACUGGGCUAUGUCAUUAUCUAUCCACCAACAGUAAGAGAAGUUUUGCAGUCGAGAUACUGUUGAGCAGAUGGAGUGUUUUCUGUUGGACACUAAGUACUGCUACAAAU